CCAAGGGUGCAGAUGGUGGGAGCCAGCGUUGUCCCUUCAGGAACAGAAGGUCCUGUGUUGUGAGGGGUCAGCCUCUCCAUAACCAAUGUCAAGGUCGGACCUACCCUUGUGGACGACUGCAGGAGGUCCUUCAGCUACAACUCAGGAAACUUUGAAAACUACAAAGGCCUGAGCAGCUCCUGGGAGUACAACCACCUGCAACCCCACCUGCUGUGUUCCUGCCUCGGUUGCUCUGCCCUGACAACUUGGUAUCUUCAGUCCUGCCCUGUUCUGUCCGUCCUCCCAUCACAGGGCCACGUCGCCACCAGAUGCUGGUGCUUCUGUGAAAUCACUGCCUUCCAUCCUAAUUUGAAGAUCUUUAUGGCCGGCUUUGAUUUUUUUCUUCUAUGACUAUGUGCAGAACAUGGUCACUGCUUUCUUGAGGCUCCAGUGUCUCUGGCUCUUCAGGUCUGAACUCUGUGUCCAUAUCAGGAAUUCAGAGAAAAGUGACAAUGCUCUUGGUGUCGUUUCCAGUCUCCAUGGUCCAUCUCUAAGGAGAAGUAGCAGAACGUGGACCAACAUGGAAUCCGUUCACCAUCUGACUCCUGAUCUCAUCCUCGAUGUAGUUCACACACGCCACCAGCCUGGUCAAUCUCUGUAAUAUGGCAAUGACAUUAUAGUAU